GAGGGUAUAGCUCAGUGGUAGAGUGUGUGCUUAGCAUGCAUGAGGUCCUGGGUUCAAUCCCCAGUACCUCUA
rfam:Camelus ferus unplaced genomic scaffold scaffold1748, whole genome shotgun sequence.